rnacentral:lncRNA from 1 species
CACGGAUCGAUUUUCACUACAACUGAUUUUUAUGAACUUGAUAGUUGCUCCUAAAUGCAUAGACGUCCGACCUCUACGAGUAUCCACAAGAAGCUCCAAUCCGAUUAUAAAGAACUCUUCGGGGUGCUAGCUCUUUUGCAGAGUUCCUUCUUAAUGGCUAAUCUAAGAGGAAGAAGAAAUAGGUGGAAGAAGGAGAAGAGGAACCCUUUCACUCUUUCUAUUUUUCUCUCUUCCAAAACCC